rnacentral:rRNA from 1 species
GGACAACCUACUCUUAGGACCGGGAUAACCCCGGGAAACUGGGGACAAUCCCGGAUAGGUGAAGUGGCCUGGAAUGGUACUUCACUGAAAGGCUCUUCGGAGCGCCUAAGGAUGGGUCUGCGGCCGAUUAGGUAGUUGGUAGGGUAACGGCCUACCAAGCCGAUAAUCGGUACGGGUUGUGAGAGCAAGAGCCCGGAGAUGGAACCUGAGACAAGGUUCCAGGCCCUACGGGGCGCAGCAGGCGCGAAACCUCCGCAAUGCACGCAAGUGCGACGGGGGGACCCCAAGUGCCACUUUUAACGGGGUGGCUUUUCAGGAGUGUAAAAAGCUCCUGGAAUAAGGGCUGGGCAAGACCGGUGCCAGCCGCCGCGGUAACACCGGCAGCUCGAGUGGUAGCCGCGUUUAUUGGGCCUAAAGCGUCCGUAGCCGGUCCGAUAAGUCUCUGGUGAAAGCCCACAGCUCAACUGUGGGAAUCGCUGGAGAUACUAUCGGACUUGAGGCCGGGAGAGGCUGGAGGUACUCCCAGGGUAGGGGUGAAAUCCUAUAAUCCUGGGAGGACCACCUGUGGCGAAGGCGUCCAGCUGGAACGGACCUGACGGUGAGGGACGAAAGCCAGGGGCGCGAACCGGAUUAGAUACCCGGGUAGUCCUGGCCGUAAACGAUGCGGACUUGGUGUUGGGACGGCUUUGAGCUGUCCCAGUGCCGAAAGGGAAGCUGUUAAGUCCGCCGCCUGGGAAGUACGGCCGCAAGGCUGAAACU